rnacentral:rRNA from 1 species
UGGGGAAUAUUGGACAAUGGGGGCAACCCUGAUCCAGCAAUGCCGCGUGAGUGAAGAAGGCCUUCGGGUUGUAAAGCUCUUUUAUCAGGGACGAUAAUGACGGUACCUGAGGAAUAAGCUCCGGCUAACUUCGUGCCAGCAGCCGCGGUAAUACGAAGGGAGCUAGCGUUGUUCGGAAUUACUGGGCGUAAAGGGCGCGUAGGCGGUUAACUAAGUCAGAUGUGAAAGCCUUGGGCUUAACCUGAGAACUGCAUUUGAUACUGGUUGACUAGAGAUCGAGAGAGGAAAGUGGAAUUACGAGUGUAGAGGUGAAAUUCGUAGAUAUUCGUAAGAACACCAGUGGCGAAGGCGACUUUCUGGCUCGAUACUGACGCUAAGGCGCGAAAGCGUGGGGAGCAAA